AAUCAACGCUAGCGGCGUGCCUCAGACAUGCAAGUCGAACGAUUAAAGCUCUCUUCGGAGAGUGCAUAGAGUGGCGCACGGGUGAGUAACACGUAAGUAAUCUACCUUAGAGUGGGGAAUAACAUUCGGAAACGACUGCUAAUACCGCAUAAUGCAGCGGCAUCGCAAGAUGACAGUUGUUAAAGGAGCAAUCCGCUUAAAGAGGAGCUUGCGGCAGAUUAGCUUGUUGGUAAGGUAACGGCUUACCAAGGCUACGAUCUGUAUCCGGUCUUAGAGGACGGUCGGACACACUGACACUGAAUAACGGGUCAGACUCCUACGGGAGGCAGCAGUCGGGAAUUUUGGGCAAUGGGCGAAAGCCUGACCCAGCAACGCCGCGUGAAGGAUGAAGUAUUUCGGUAUGUAAACUUCGAAAGAAUAGGAAGAAUAAAUGACGGUACUAUUUAUAAGCUCCGGCUAACUACGUGCCAGCAGCCGCGGUAAAAC
rnacentral:rRNA from 1 species